rnacentral:rRNA from 1 species
UUCCAGACUCCUACGGGAGGCAGCAGUGGGGAAUAUUGCACAAUGGGGGAAACCCUGAUGCAGCGACGCCGCGUGAGUGAGGAAGUAUUUCGGUAUGUAAAGCUCUAUCAGCAGGGAAGAAAAUGACGGUACCUGACUAAGAAGCCCCGGCUAACUACGUGCCAGCAGCCGCGGUAAUACGUAGGGGGCAAGCGUUAUCCGGAUUUACUGGGUGUAAAGGGAGCGUAGACGGAUAAGCAAGUCUGAUGUGAAAAUCCGGGGCCCAACCCCGGAAUUGCAUUGGAAACUGCAUAUCUAGAGUGUCGGAGAGGCAAGUGGAAUUCCUGGUGUAGCGGUGAAAUGCGUAGAUAUUAGGAGGAACACCGGUGGCGAAGGCGGCUUACUGGACUGUAACUGACGUUGAGGCUCGAAAGCGUGGGGAGCAAACAGGAUUAGAUACCCGGGUAAA